GCUGGUGUAGUUCAUUCGUAGAAUGUCGGGCUGUCAAUCGAAAGGUUGUAGGAUCGAAACCAACCGCUAGCU
rnacentral:tRNA from 1 species